UAUCUACAAAAUUUUGGUAUCGAGGAAAAGUACGUCCAAUAAAGAAUCACAUCUGGAGGAACUAAUGAGUUUUUCAGUGCCCUAUGAACUGAGCAUGAGAGGGAGCAAUGAGCCAUGGGCAGAGUCGUUUUUGGCUCGCUUGCAGUCGAAAAGGGGAAGAUGCAAACAAACUUGGAGCUCCUUGGAAAUGGAGGUCACCGAAUGCUACCCCAAGCGAUUUCAUAAUAGA